GUUUCCUCCUGUGCUGCUUUGCCUACACUUCAAAACACGCAUGAAAGUGUCCCACAAUAAAUACCCCACACAGGGACAAUGCAGACAGAACACACUAACUUGGGCCAGGGUAUACUGCGGCAGGUAGCUGUAUUCGACCCAGGUGGUUAUAUAAGGUACAUAUGGAAACAAUGUAAUUUUGUAACAUGUAAUGCCAGCACAAUGUUUUCUCCCCUAACCCCCUUUUCUUUUCUGUAUCCCUAUCUGUUUUAAGACAAAAUAAAAAUUGUCAAAUUGAAAAACAAA